UGACCAGACUCCUACGGGAGGCAGCAGUGAGGAAUAUUGGUCAAUGGGCGGGAGCCUGAACCAGCCAUGCCGCGUGAAGGCGAGUGCCCUACGGGCGUUAAACUUCUUUUGUGCGGGAGCAAUAAGGGCCACGUGUGGCCCGAUGAGAGUGCCGCACGAAUAAGCAUCGGCUAACUCCGCGCCAGCAGCCGCGGUAAUACGGGGGAUGCGAGCGUUAUCCGGAUUUACUGGGUGUAAAGGGAGCGUAGACGGCAGUGCAAGUCCGGAGUGAAAGCCCGGGGCGCAACCCUGGGACUGCUCUGGAAACUGUAAAGCUGGAGUGCGGGAGGGGCAGGCGGAAUUCCUGGUGUAGCGGUGAAAUGCGUAGAUAUCAGGAGGAACACCGGCGGCGAAGGCGGCCCGCUGGACCGUAACUGACGUUGAGGCUCGAAAGCGUGGGGAGCAAACAGGAUUAGAUACCCCAGUAAAC
rnacentral:rRNA from 1 species